UACGUAGGGGGCAAGCGUUGUCCGGAAUUAUUGGGCGUAAAGAGCGUUUAGGCGGUCCGGUAAGUCCGCUGUGAAAGUCCAGGGCUCAACCCUGGAAUGCCGGUGGAUACUGCCGGGCUAGAGUCCGGAAGAGGCGAGUGGAAUUCCUGGUGUAGCGGUGAAAUGCGCAGAUAUCAGGAGGAACACCGAUGGCGAAGGCAGCUCGCUGGGACGGUACUGACGCUGAGGCGCGAAAGCGUGGGGAGCGAACAGG
rnacentral:rRNA from 1 species